UACAGAGGUCCCAAGCGUUGUUCGGAUUCAUUGGGCGUAAAGGGCGCGUAGGCGGCGCCACAAGUCACUUGUGAAAACUCUGGGCUCAACUCAGAGCCUGCAAGCGAAACUGUGGUGCUGGAGUAUGGGAGAGGUGCGUGGAAUUCCCGGUGUAGCGGUGAAAUGCGUAGAGAUCGGGAGGAACAUCAGUGGCAAAGGCGGCCAUCUGGGACAACACUGACGCUGAGGCACGAAAGCGUGGGGAGCAAACAGG
rnacentral:rRNA from 1 species